rnacentral:rRNA from 1 species
GACGAACGCUGGCGGCAGGCCUAACACAUGCAAGUCGAACGAGUGGCGGACGGGUGAGUAAUGUCUGGGAACCUGCCUGAUUUCGGGGGAUACCUACUGGAAACGGUAGCUAAUACCGCAUACCAUCGGAUGUGCCCAGAUGGGAUUAGCUAGUUGGUGGGGUAAAGGAUCACCUAGGCGACGAUCCCUAGCUGGUCUGAGAGGAUGACCAGCCAAACUGGAACGGAGACACGGUACAGACUCCUACGGGAGGCAGCAGUGGGGAAUAUUGCACAAUGGGAGCAAGCCUGAUGUAGCCAUGCCGAGUGUAUGAAGAAGGCCUUCGGGUUGUAAAGGACUUUCAGCGGUGAGGAGUUACCCGCAGAAGAAGCACCGGCUAACUCCGUGCCAGCAGCCGCGGUAAUUC